rnacentral:lncRNA from 1 species
CGAAAUAGCAGCCACUCAACAGGUGAGAAGACAGCAUAAAAGUUCACGUGACUGGCUCACUAAGGACACAAUGCAUAUUUCAGCGAUAACUCCCAGUGUCCAGUUUCCUCCCGCUGGCCUAAAACAACAGAGCUCUUCAUUUUGGGAUUAGAGCUUCUCUCUGGAAUUAUGGCACAUUUCUGAGACCUGUAAUUCAUGUUCACUAAAGGAGAAAUUCUCCUCUCGUGAUGGGAGCCUGGGGAGUACAUCUCAGUGAGACAACAUACACUGAUUUUAAUCAUGAUGCUCCUGCCAUGAAGUUUUUGUGGGUGUACUGGGGAGAUAUUGAAAUUCCUCCUAGGUACUACUAUGACUUUACUUGUGAGAACUGCCAUGAAGAGAUUGUUGGGGCUCCUCUUGGUUGGUUUUAUCACAUAGACCCUGACUUCUGCUAUCUGUAAACUUUUCUUCUGGUACCUGCAGUGCUGCAAAUCCCCUCUGGACAGUCAUCCUUUGCCCUCUGCUUGCCUGUGUGGCUUAAGUGGUGCUGGCCCCAGGGGUGAGGGUAGGUCCUACACCUAAGUCAGCCAACUCUUCAUAGCCCCUCAGCCACGAAGGUUGCUUCAAGGACAGCAUGUGAUACUAAACGAGUCAAUGAACUCUAUGAGACCUUUCAUGGAGCCCCUGGGACACACACAGAUGCUCUCCUUCUGAAGACUGACUUUGUGAAGAGAGGAGGGAGAACUACUGUGGAUGUCUUGCAGCCACUUGGAGGCUGAAUCCAAAGCCAACACCAAGGGUGCAGUGCUGGGGAAUGAAAAGUGAGAAAGUGGUCCCAAUGACGUUGUUUGAAACCCGAAUCAAGCAAUGUGAGCUGGCCUUCUUUUUUCUAUUAGCCCAUAAAACAUCUUUUCUUGCUUAAGGUUGUUUGAAUGGGAUGUUUGAUCACUUGCUACCAGAAUCCUAUCUGAUAUACUCAGUAUGGUAGUCAAGAAAUAGCAUGAAGGACUCAUCUACUCCGAAAAUGCGUAUCAGUAGAUUUUAAUAGACAAAAAUAGAAUUGGUAAAUUCAAAAAAAAUAAGUCAUGAAAAAGUAGAAAAUACUUUUAAAUAAAGGACUUCUAAGUACUAAGGUCACUUAAAAUCACAACAAAGCAUCAACUUUUAUUUAUGUCAUUUAAUUACUCGUAUCCACAGGCCAUUCCAGGUCAUUUUCAUGAUUUGACCCUUUCUA